GACGAACGCUGGCGGCGUGCUUAACACAUGCAAGUCGAACGGAAAGGCCCUGCUUUUGUGGGGUGCUCGAGUGGCGAACGGGUGAGUAACACGUGAGUAACCUUCCCUUGACUUUGGGAUAACUUCAGGAAACUGGGGCUAAUACCGGAUAGGAGCUCCUGCUGCAUGGUGGGGGUUGGAAAGGUUCGGCGGUUGGGGAUGGACUCGCGGCUUAUCAGCUUGUUGGUGGGGUAGUGGCUUACCAAGGCUUUGACGGGUAGCCGGCCUGAGAGGGUGACCGGCAACAUUGGGACUGAGAUACGGCCCAGAGUCCUACGGGAGGCAGCAGUGGGGAAUAUUGCACAAUGGGCGGAAGCCUGAUGCAGCAACGCCGCGUGCGGGAUGACGGCCUUCGGGUUGUAAACCGCUUUCGCCUGUGACGAAGCGUGAGUGACGGUAAUGGGUAAAGAAGCACCGGCUAACUACGUG
rnacentral:rRNA from 1 species